AACCGCGAAUGGCUCAUUAAAUCAGUUAUGAUUCAUUUGAUCUCACUCCCAUUACUUGGAUAACCCUGGUAAUUCUAGAGCUAAUACGUGACAACAACUACUCCGACUGGAAGGGAGGAGUGCUUUUAUUAGAUGAAAACCAAUCGGGCCUCGGUCCGCCAAACACAAACUGUGCUGAUUCUGAAUAACUUUGUGCCGAGAGCAUGGACUCCGCGCCGGCUCCGUAUCUUUCGAGUUUCUGCCUUAUCAUGCUGUGGAUUGUAGGCCAUGCGCCUACUGUGGCUGUUACGGGUGACGGAGAAUCAGGGUUCGAUUCCGGAGAGGGAGCCUGAGAAACGGCUACCACA
rnacentral:rRNA from 1 species